UCUUUUUUUUUUUUUUUCUCUUGCCACUUCUGUCUCAGUUUCUCUUCAUUUUCCAGCACCAUGGGUAUCUGUGCAUUAAGCCUGAUGCGGUUUGCAGAAUCAGGAUAUAAAUCAGUACUAACUUCUUCCUUCAUUGUUUGUAUGUUACACUAAAAAAAAAAAAAAGAAAGAAAGAAAAACUGAAUUUUAAAACCCUUUCAAAGGUACAUGGGAAGUUUAAGUUCAUUGCCAUAGAGAUAGAGCUUAUUUCUCAAGCUUAAUCUUUCUACAAUAACAAAGCUAUCGCCCACACACCUCUGAGCUUAUUCUUCCUCGUAUAAACAUUCUAAUACAUAGAACCACAGAACAAGUAUGGUUGAUACUGUACUUCGGGGGUUUUGUGAAAAAUCACGGAAAAGACUGUGAACUGCAUGUGUGGUGAAAGUUACUGUGGAAAAAUGAAGAUAGGAGUUAGCUUACUCAAAAAAGAACUGUCAUUUGUAAGGGAUUCAUGACUUUCUUUAGUUUUCAUGUUUUUAUUUUUUUUAAGGAUUUCUAGAAACAUUUGGAAAAUGAAGAUGUAUUGUAUUUUUUCCUCAUUUUCUGAAGUAAUAUUAAUUUUAAGCAAUUUGCAAACUUAUUUUUUUCAAGUUACAAACAUUAUUACAGAUUCUAAGAUGAAUGUGGUCUCAAAGUUGUGGUCCUAAGCUUCUCUGCUAUUUCUCCUUCACAGGGCCUCUGAUUAUGCUGUGUUUCUCUUGAGUUACCCACUCCUUUAGUAAAUAGAGGUGAAAAGUUACAGUAGAGACAUGAUGUGUCCUUUUCUAAUUCUCUUGUCCAGACGUGCAUAGGCUUGUCAUAACAAGACUUUAUACUCCCAUGCCAUUAUUCAGAUGAUACUGGAUACUAAUAGGAUACCCAGCUAUUUAAAGUUUGAUAUUUCACAUACAAUUCCUGUAGUAAUACAAUAAUAUUUUAGCACCCACAAACACAGAAUGCAGGAUAAUCCAUGAAGAAAAAUUAUGAAAGAAGACAAAUGGUUUGCAUUUACACUAAAAGGGUUGCAAUUUAUUGUGAAGUUACACUUCACAUCUAGGAUGUUAUAAGAGUGGGUAAGAACUGGAUUAGUGCUAUCAGUGCAUCUUUAUAAGGUAACAAAACUUCCAAAAAUGUCAUUUAUUUGGAAAAACGUUAUUCACAAAAUUUGGCUUCAUUCAUCCAGUAUGGUUUUUUCAGGGGGUUGGAGAAGAUUUUGAAUGCCUUUUAGUGCUUACUUUCAUGAUCUUAUCAAAAUAUAAUGUUUUGUUUGAAAGAACUAAUUUUGAACAUUCAAAAUCAGAAUGUAACUUUCUUGUUUCACUACACCAUUUUUCGUUAAAAUUUUAUCAAGAUUAAGAGAAAAACAUGUUUUAAAAGGUUAAAUAACACUGAACAGUAUAAAAACCUUCUUUUUCGUUGUUGAAUAAAAUCCAAAACUAGAAUUCUUAUGCAGUCCAAACUAUUUCCCUGAUUUUUUUUUCCUGUUUGAUCCCAAAAACCAAAGAUCUGUUAUUAUUCCGUGUCCAAUUAAGAUAUUACACAUUUUCCUCACCCAUUCACUGCACUGGAUCUUUACUAAAGGAUUUGCAAGCUCUGUUGGCUCUAUUAGCAAUCUGGUGCCUGCAGGGAGAUAGCUGCAAAUGUUGUUUCUCUCUCUAACCCAUAGUCAAAAAGGACACUGGCGGGCAAUUCAAAAGUUUGUUACCAGAGCUGCUUUUCUAAUCCUGUUUUAGCAGUUUCUUAUUAAUAACCACCUUUAUUAACUUUAGAUUUUUUUGCCUCAUUAUGCAUAAAAUUGUCAUAAUGGGACAUUAUGGGUUCAGUGCUUACCCCAGCAAAUUUACACUACUCAUCUUUCUUACUUGGUUAUACAAGUAUUUCCUCCAGCUACAAAACUUUGGCAAUUCCAGGUUCAUGAAAAAAGCUUUUCUAAGAGAGCUGGUACUUCAAUGGCUGGCUGGCUGUAUGGACACCUUGCCCCUUGGACAACUGUUCUGUCCAUCAGAUCAAGAUAGCAUAAAUCACCUAUGUAUGGAGGGAUCUCCCAUCUUCACACUUCCAGCUGCUGCCUGUUAGCUCCAUCAUAUUUUGUAGGCUCACUUCUUGAAUUGUACAACCCAUGCUACUUCAAGAACUAGCAGACAGGCUGGCAGGAUUUCAGAGCUAUCAUUACAUUUACUCAGUAGGCUGUAGGAAAACCACUUGUAUUAUCCAGUACUCUCUACAAUGGUUCCUUUUGUCUUCCCAAUAUUAAGAAUAUUAGCUUGUGCCAUAUGUUACAGGUUGCUUGGAAUUACUCAAGAUAUCUAAUGUGGGUGUUGUACUGCAACAUAGAAGACUAUGUAUAAAUAUCCCAGUGCCUUAUCUCAGACAAAUUUGAACUGUUUCUAACCAAGCUAAGGUGAUUAAUUCAAGAACAGCAUCCUGCCAACAUGGCUACUAGCAGUGUUCUGGGAAUACAUAUGAUGACUAGGCCUUCACAAAAAAAAAAAACAACAAAACCAACAAAACCCAAAAACCAACAAAUCAAAACGAAAGAAG
rnacentral:lncRNA from 1 species